rnacentral:lncRNA from 1 species
GGUUGAGAUAAAGGCACAGCACUUUUUAUAGUGUAUGAUAGUUACUUCUGGUUGUUUCUUCAGAAAGUAUCAAUGUAUUCAUCUAUUACCUGAUGUAUCACGCAGAGUAUUUAUGUUAGUUUAUUAUUUAGAUUAAAUACUUUUUCAUGUGAGUUAGACAUUGUAUUUAUUAUUUUUUCUAAUUGCUUGUUCAUUCCAACUGUCUUUUCCUACUGACUUGUUUGUCUUAUUGAUUUGUAAUAAUUCUGUCUGUGGGGUAGACCAGGAAGGCAGGCUUUAUAAACACUGUCUUUCUUCUCUCUCUCUCUUUUUUUUUUUUUUUUUUUUUUUUGAGAUGGAGUCUCCCUCUAUUGCCCAGGCUGGAGUGCAGUGGUGCAAUCUCGGCUCACUGCAA